rnacentral:rRNA from 1 species
UCUAUUAGAGGGCCAGUCUGGUGCCAGCAGCCGCGGUAAUUCCAGCUCUAAUAGCGUAUAUUAAAGUUGUUGCGGUUAAAAAGCUCGUAGUUGAAUCUGUGUCCCACACUGUCGGUUCACCGCUCGCGGUGUUCAACUGGCAUGUCUGUGGGACGUCCUACCGGUGGGCUUAGCCCGUCAAAAGGCGGCCCAACUCAAAAUCCUACCACGGUGCUCUUCACCGAGUGUCGAGGUGGGCCGGUACGUUUACUUUGAACAAAUUAGAGUGCUUAAAGCAGGCUCAUUUGCCUGAAUAUUGUGUGCAUGGAAUAAUGGAAUAGGACCUCGGUUCUAUUUUGUUGGUUUUCGGAAUUCCGAGGUAAUGAUUAAUAGGGACAACUGGGGGCAUUCGUAUUGCGACGUUAGAGGUGAAAUUCUUGGAUCGUCGCAAGACGGACAGAAGCGAAAGAAAUGUGUUUUCAUCAAUCAAGAACGAAAGUUAGAGGUUCGAAGGCGAUCAGAUACCGCCCUAGUUCUAACCAUAAACGAUGCCAGCUAGCGAUCCGCCGAAGUUCCUCCGAUGACUCGGCGGGCAGCUUCCGGGAAACCAAAGCUUUUGGGUUCCGGGGGAAGUAUGGUUGCAAAGCUGAAACUUAAAGGAAUUGACGGAAGGGCACCACCAGGAGUGGAGCCUGCGGCUUAAUUUGACUC